rnacentral:rRNA from 1 species
AGUAAUGCAUAGGAAUCUGCCCAGUAGUGGGGGAUAACUCGAAGAAAUUCGAGCUAAUACCGCAUAUGUCCCACGGGACAAAGCAGGGGACCUUCGGGCCUUGCGCUAUUGGAUGAGCCUAUGUCGGAUUAGCUAGUUGGUAGGGUAAAAGCCUACCAAGGCAACGAUCCGUAGCUGGUCUGAGAGGAUGAUCAGCCACACUGGGACUGAGACACGGCCCAG